rnacentral:rRNA from 1 species
UAAGGAAUAUUGGUCAAUGGACGCAAGUCUGAACCAGCCAUGCCGCGUGAAGGAUGAAGGUCCUCUGGAUUGUAAACUUCUUUUAUCUGGGACGAAAACGGGAUUUUUAUCUCAAUUGACGGUACCAGAGGAAUAAGCACCGGCUAACUCCGUGCCAGCAGCCGCGGUAAUACGGAGGGUGCGAGCGUUAUCCGGAUUUACUGGGUUUAAAGGGUGCGUAGGUGGGCUUAUAAGUCAGUGGUGAAAUCCCCGAGCUUAACUUGGGAACUGCCAUUGAUACUAUAUAUCUUGAAUACCGUAGAGGUAAGCGGAAUAUGUCAUGUAGCGGUGAAAUGCUUAGAUAUGACAUGGAACACCAAUUGCGAAGGCAGCUUACUAUGCGGUGAUUGACACUGAGGCACGAAAGCGUGGGUAGCAAACA